rnacentral:sRNA from 1 species
ACCAGGAGGAAAGCAAGACGCUGAGCCUGGUGUCGCGGGUACGCCUGUGGCCGCGGUGCCCGUGUCUGGGUGGGUACCCGCCCAAGGCACCUCUGACGCUCCCUCCCUGCCCCAGGAUGCCAAGCCCCUGGAGGUGUACAGCGUGGACUUCAUGGUGGACAAUGCCCAGCUGGGUUUUCUGGGUAUGUGGCAGGGUCUGGGGAGCUGAGGCUCUGGGAGUGGCCGGAGCUGACUCUGGGCCUCUGCUCCCCAGUGUCUGACCGCGACCGCAACCUCAUGGUGUACAUGUACCUGCCUGAAGGUGAGUGCUUCCUCCACCCCCUCUGCCUGGGCCGGGGCUGGGCUAGCAGUGACCCUAGGCCUUUCUGGUCUAGCCAAGGAGAGUUUCGGGGGCAUGCGCCUGCUGCGCCGGGCGGACUUCCACGUGGGUGCCCACGUGAACACGUUCUGGAGGACCCCGUGCCGGGGGGCCGCUGAGGGGCUCAGCAAAAAGUCGGUCGUGUGGGAGAAUAAGCACAUCACGUGGUUUGCCACCCUGGACGGCGGCAUCGGGCUGCUGCUGCCCAUGCAGGAGAAGACCUACCGGCGGCUGCUGAUGCUGCAGAACGCGCUGACCACUAUGUUGCCACACCACGCCGGCCUCAACCCUCGCGCCUUCCGGUGAGCCCCGGCCCUGCCCCUGUGCAGCACCCCUUCCACCCCAGCCUGCCCUGACACCCGUGCCUGUACGCCCCAGGAUGCUGCACGUGGACCGCCGCACCCUCCAGAAUGCCGUGCGCAACGUGUUGGAUGGGGAGCUGCUCAACCGCUACCUGUACCUGAGCACCAUGGAGCGCAGCGAGCUGGCCAAGAAGAUCGGCACCACGCCCGACAUAAUCCUGGACGACUUGCUGGAGACGGACCGCGUCACCGCCCACUUCUAGCCCCGUGGAUGCCGUCACCACCAGCACACCGCACUACCUCCCACCCCCAUUUUUGUACAAAACACAAGGAAAAAGAUUUUUGCUUGAGA